AGGUAGGCUACCCCCACAUCCCUCACCUCCCUCCACUCCCACACCCCUCGUCUCCCUCGCUCAACCACUCAACCAGCUCGGCCUCCCCAGUCGGUCGCCACACCAAAACCACCACCGCCGUCUUCCUGCCUCCCCGCCAGCGUGCUCCCCUGCCCGACACCACCAUCCCCGGCCUCCACCCCGCCGGCCUCAUUAGGGUUGGCAACAGGGCGGGUCGGGGCCGGGGUGAAGAGGAGAGUGGAGAGGAGAGAAGAGGACACUGACCUAGGUUCCUGGCCGCUGGCGUGGGGAGGCGGCGGCAUCUGGGCUCCUGGCCACCGGGUAGGGAGGCACCGCCGGCAUGGGGAGGAGGCAGCGACGUCCUGGCGACGGCGUCAACGAGGGGCCCAUGCCGACAUGGAGGGGAGGCGGCGGCGACAUCGACGAGGGUCGGCGCCGGCUGGAGAGGAGGUAGAGUGAGGUCGGAUCCGUUUACAAUUAGGGUAGUGAGGUCGGAUCCGUUUACACUUAGGGUUCGUGCUUGGCGGAUAGUGGUGGCUGCGCGGGCGGACGACUACGACUGCACGGCGGCGGCUGCGGCCGGCCCGUGCUCGAUGGACAACAGCGGCGGAUGACUCUGUCGUCGGCUUGAGCCCGGCAACAGGGCGCUGUGCGUGGCCUCUGUUGGCAACAUCCGGGGUUUCCGCCAUCGCCAUGCCUAGGUGGUUGCUGGUUUUGGAGGACCUGAGUAUUCUGUAGAGCAUGAGGAAUCAGGCGCCAUGUUAAUGACUGAAAUCACACUGGCGAAGCUGCAAAACACCAUUAGGCCCACAAUACUUCCAGAACCUGGAUGACUCACUAGAGUGAAUGGGCUUUAAGAUAAAUCACCUACAAAGUGGAUAUGUGAUUUAAUUAUCCUGUCACUUUCUUUAAGCACUUCCAAUACAGUAUUGUCUAUUCUCUGUUUGAGAGGUUGGUGUCAUAGUUUGCAGACAGUUGUGUGAUGCUGCUUUGAACUAUGAGCAGUUGCUUACAAAAAUUUGAACUGUUGUGUUAUUGUUUCCUGCCUUGUUUCUUCUUCUUUUUUUUAGAAUAUCAACUCGAGACGACGUCAAACAGAUAUGGCAGCUGCAAGCAUUUCUCCAUCUGCAUUGCUUGCUUGAAAAAACAUA